CCCAUAUCUCGCACAUGCAUUUCCCAUUAUUCAACAAGAGCAUGCACAAUCAUUCAACAAAUUUUUUGAAUUCUCAAGGAAGUUCCCCGCAUUACACGUUCUCUUUCUUACACAUUCUGGGGAUAUACAAGCCAAAAAUUCCAAGGGAAUUUCUAUAAUGAAAGGAGGAUAACUACAUGCUUCUAUGAUUUAUUCAGCGUCCUGUUCUUAAUUUUAAUUCGAAAUCUUGGUGCAGAGUUACCUUCCGAUGGCUCAGGCUUAGUGUCCACAUAGGUGUUGGCCAUUUUGGAACCACUGGAUUCCCUUGGUUUCAACUGCACAGUUGCCAACUUAAUGCUGCUGGGUUCCUGUUUCUUAAUGCGCGAGUCUACCGAAGAUGCCUUUGCAUCAUCACUGAGCAGCUUUGCCAUUUCCUUCUCCUUCUGUUUUUUCUCUUUCUUCAACCUCUUCCGUUCCAGGUACUCUGGAUCAUCCCUGUGCCCUUUAUGAUCUUCCCGUUUCCGUUUCUUUUCCUUAUCUUUUUUCUUCUCCUUUUCUUUCCCACGAAAAGGAGAUACCACGGCAACUGAUGAACCGCCAUCAUGAUCAAAUCUUCCAACUGAGAGGGUUUGCAGACUAGCAUACUUUUGUGCACCACUGUCGACAUUGUUAUCUUGCAUGACACUAGGAGAUGAUGGAUCCUCAGGCUGAGGAUGCACAAAAACUUUGCUUGAAUCAGCAGUGCACUGGAGUUCCUUCCCAAAAUUGUCACCAUCACUUGUGAGUUUUGCACUGCCUAUGCUAGCAGUCAUCCGCGACCCAUGGUCAAGACAUGAGUU
rnacentral:misc_RNA from 1 species